UACAGAGUGUGCAAGCGUUGUCCGGAAUUACUGGGCGUAAAGGGCUCGUAGGCGGCCAACUAAGUCAUACGUGAAACCCCUCAGCUUAACUGGGGAACUGCGUGUGAUACUGGAUGGCUUGGAUUUGGGAGAGGGAUGCGGAAUUCCAGGUGUAGCGGUGAAAUGCGUAGAUAUCCGGAGGAACACCGGUGGCGAAGGCGGCAUCCUGGACCAAUAUUGACGCUGAGGAGCGAAAGCCAGGGGAGCAAACGGG
rnacentral:rRNA from 1 species